rnacentral:rRNA from 1 species
AGCUCCAAUAGCGUAUAUUAAAGUUGUUGCAGUUAAAAAGCUCGUAGUCGGAUUUCGGGUCGGGCCGAGCGGUCUGCCGAUGGGUAUGCACUGUUCGGCGCGGCCUUCUUUCCGGAGACCGCGGCUACUCUUAACUGAGCGGGCGUGGGAGACGGAUCGUUUACUUUGAAAAAAUCAGAGUGUUUCAAGCAGGCAGCUCGCUCUUGCAUGGAUUAGCAUGGGAUAAUGAAAUAGGACUCUGGUGCUAUUUUGUUGGUUUCGAACACCGGAGUAAUGAUUAACAGGGACAGUCAGGGGCACUCGUAUUCCGUCGAGAGAGGUGAAAUUCUCAGACCAAUGGAAGACGAACCACUGCGAAAGCAUUUGCCAGGGAUGUUUUCACUA